rnacentral:rRNA from 1 species
GACGAAGGAUGCAAGCGUUAUCCGGAUUCAUUGGGUUUAAAAGGGUGCGUAGGCGGACCAGUAAGUCAGUGGUGAAAUCUCUUUGCUUAACAAAGAAACUGCCAUUGAUACUGCUAGUCUAGAGUAUAGAUGACGUUGGCGGAAUAUGACAUGUAGUGGUGAAAUACUUAGAUAUGUCAUAGAACACCGAUUGCGAAGGCAGCUAACGAAACUAUAACUGACGCUGAGGCACGAAAGUGCGGGGAUCAAACAGG